UUCCGGCGGCGGCCGUUCUAGCCGGAGCCGUCUCUAUGGCCGCCGCGUUUUGCGAUGUUUAUUGUCGCGGGGACAGGGCCCGGGACCCGGAACAACAAAGAGCGAGAGCGACGGGGCGCGUAGCAACCGGGCCGCGCGCGGCGGAGCCGGGGACACUCAACCGCCGGCCCACGCGAAUGUGAUCUUCAUGGUGUGCUGGUGGGGAAUUUGAGUUUUCAACCACCCCAAUGGAUGCAGACAGUGAUGUUGCAUUGGACAUUUUAAUCACAAAUGUAGUGUGUGUUUUUAGAACAAGAUGUCAUUUAAACUUGAGGAAGAUUGCAUUAGAGGGAGCAAAUGUGAUCUACAAGCGUGAUGUUGGGAAAGUAUUAAUGAAGCUUAGGAAACCUAGGAUUACGGCCACAAUUUGGUCCUCAGGAAAAGUUAUUUGCACAGGAGCCACAAGUGAAGAAGAAGCUAAAUUUGGUGCCAGACGUUUAGCUCGUACUUUGCAAAAACUAGGUUUUCAGGUAAUUUUCACAGAUUUUAAGGUUGUCAAUGUUUUAGCAGUGUGCAACAUGCCCUUUGAAAUCAGAUUGCCAGAAUUUACGAAGAAUAAUAGACCUCAUGCUAGUUAUGAACCGGAGCUUCAUCCUGCAGUGUGCUACAGAAUAAAACCUCUCAGAGCUACCUUACAGAUUUUUUCAACAGGAAGUAUCACAGUAACGGGUACUUUAUGAUGCCAAAAUAAAUAUUUAACUUACUUUCUUUCAUGGGAGUUCAGUUAGACUUUGAAAGCAACAGAGAGACAGGGCCAAACGUAAAGGCUGUUGCCAGUGCUGUGGAACAGAUUUACCCAUUCGUGUUUGAAAGCAGGAAAGAAAUUUUAUAAUUCACCACUUAAUGGUUAGGUUCCCUAACCAAGCACCUUCAAAGACUGCUGCACAUUGGACUAAAAGCAAAAAAAGGAAAACUGGACCAACAAUAGCUGAGGAAAUACAGACUCUUUUACUUGUUCAUGGCCACAGUGUAAACUCCAGUCCCUUUGGAUUUUAUUUUGAACAGUGCUGUAUUGUAAAAACAAAAGUUUACAAGAUAUGAAAUUGCUGCUUUUAAAAAGACGUUCUAUUUAUUUUUGCAGUAAUUUCUGUGUAUUCAUAAGUGAACCUGUCACGAUGUGCACUACCUUUCAAACAUUUUUUUAGUUUGAGCUUGUGUUUUAUUUGUGAAUAGUCUUUUACAUUUUUGUAUGCUGAAUAUUGGGCACCAAAGAAGCUGUAAAAGUUACCUUUUUCACUUGAUGAAUGUGCACAAAUAAAAAUUUGGAAAAUAUCUCUCUUAA